AGUGAACGCUGGCGGUAGGCCUAACACAUGCCAGUCGAACGGCAGCACAGUAAGAGCUUCCUCUUACGGGUGGCGAGUGGCGGACGGGUGAGGAAUACAUCGGAAUCUACUUUUUCGUGGGGGAUCACGUAGGGAAACUUACGCUAAUACCGCAUACGACCUACGGGUGAAAGCAUGGGAUCUUCGGACCUUGCGCGAUUGAAUGAGCCGAUGUCGGAUUAGCUAGUUGGCGGGGUAAAGGCCCACCAAGGCGACGACCCGUAGCUGGUCUGAGAGGAUGAACGGCCACACAGGAACUGAGACACGGUCCAGACUCCUACGGGAGGCAGCAGUGGGGAAUAUUGGACAAUGGGCGCAAGCCUGAUCCAGCCAUACCGCGUGAGUGAAGAAGGCCUUCGGGUUGUAAAGCCCUUUUGUUGGGAAAGAAAAGCAGCAGGUUAAUACCCCGCUGUUCUGACGGUACCCAAAGAAUAAGCACCGGCUAACUUCGUG
rnacentral:rRNA from 1 species